UUCGUUCUAGAAGUACUUGAAUCGUUUGUUCAAUAACAGUGCUAAAUAAGUGGUUAGAUGUGAAGAGUUUCAUUCAUACUCGAUCACAGUGCAAAGUAAUUACAUUUAACGUAGUAUGUCAUUUUGACUCAUGCAUCAUUAAAAUUUCAGUUUGUGUUGCUUAUAAUUUUUUUAUGUCAAUUUUGAGGCCAAAAUAGUAUAUAAUGAGACAGUUCUUCCGUCGGCAAGGUUCGGGCCUUCGGGGGGAGACCUCACUAGAUUUCAAGUUCAACACCUCAACAACUCGAUUACGACUGCACGUUAUAGAAUAGAGUUGUAUGCAUACGAUAAAACGUUCUUUUUGAAGGAUCAUUCACAUUUUCACGGUUAUCAUACAUACUAGUGAUGGGACGAUUCC
rnacentral:lncRNA from 1 species